rnacentral:rRNA from 1 species
GACGAACGCUGGCGGCGUGCUUAACACAUGCAAGUCGAGCGGUAAGGCCCUUUCGGGGGUACGACGAGCGGCGAACGGGUGAGUAACACGUGGGUGACCUGCCCUUACGCUCUGGGAGUAAGCCUGGGAAACUGGGUCGUAAUACCGGAUAUGACUCCAUGACGCAUGUUGUGGGGUGGAAAGCCUUGUGCGGCUAGGGAUGGGCCCGCGGCCUAUCAGCUUGUUGGUGGGGUGAUGGCCUACCAAGGCGACGACGGGUAGCCGGCCUGAGAGGGCGACCGGCCACACUGGGACUGAGACACGGCCCA